UCGUGGUGACAGCGGAGGGAUCAUUA
rnacentral:rRNA from 1 species